AACGAACGCUGGCGGCAUGCCUAACACAUGCAAGUCGAACGGAUGCAGCAAUGCAUCAGUGGCAGACGGGUGAGUAACACGUGGGAAUCUACCCAGUAGCCUGGAAUAACCGCGGGAAACUGCGGCUAAUACCGGAUACGCCCCUCGGGGGAAAGGAGCAAUCCACUAUUGGAGGAGCCCGCGUCCGAUUUGCUAGUUGGUGAGGUAACGGCUCACCAAGGCGAUGAUCGGUAGGUUGUUUGAGAGAACGACCAGCCACACUGGGACUGAGACACGGCCCAGACUCCUACGAGAGGCAGCAGUGGGGAAUAUUGGACAAUGGGGGAAACCCUGAACCAGCAAGGCCGCGUGGGUGAUGAAGGCCUUCGGGUUGUAAAGCCCUGUUGGCGGGGACGAUGAUGACGGUACCCGCAGAAGAAGCCCCGGCUAACUUCGUGCCAGCCGCCGCCGUAA
rnacentral:rRNA from 1 species